ACCUAGAUGGCUCAAUAGGUGAGCAUAUGACUUUUGAUCUGGGGGUCAUGAGUUCGAGCCUCAUGUUGAGUA
rnacentral:tRNA from 1 species